rnacentral:lncRNA from 1 species
GUAUGGUGUGAAGAGGCGAAGUCUACCUUCCGGGUCCCCAAGAGGCUCCAGGGAGGCAGAGCCGUGCCUACCCCCUGUCCUCCACCAGGGGGUGCUAAGGCUGAGGGCAGGGAGGGAGCACACCGUCCAGCAAAGGGCCCAGAGGCCGAGAGAAAAGCUCACAUGGUCAGGGGCGUCUGUGGGAAGGGAAAUCUGAUAUUUUGUCCUUGGGAUGGAUGUUCUGCUCAGACCCCGAGUCUGCUGAGCAGCCGCAGCCCCCUGGAAGGGGGAGGGACUGGGGAAGCCGGAGGCCAGUGCGCUGCCCCCAGGGGUUCUGAGCUGGGUCCCCUGAGGCACCUACCAGACACUGCUGGAUGGGGCCGGGGGAGGGCUUGGGGCGGGUGAGGCCGGAGGGCUGGUCAGAGGAAGAGGGAGCGGAGUGGACACCUGCUCCUCCCUCACCCUCAGGUGCUGCUCAGAUGUCACCUCCUCAGACAGACUUUCCCUGAGCACCCCCCACCCUCCACCCCUACCGCAUCCCCCGGUCUAAACUAGGCCUUCUUUGCAGCCUUUCUCUGCAGAAUUUUCUUCGUAGCACUUAAUGCUACCUGACAUUGCAUUUGGCUGAACCGUAUACAAUUGUCAAAUGCCAGCAAUUUCAUACAGUUCAACCUAAUACUACAUAUUCAGCGGUUCUUCAUCUGCCUCCGCCACUGGAAUGUAGCUCCACGCGGUUGGGAUUUUUAUCUGUGGCGUUUCUGCUACAUCCGCAGUGCCUAGAUGAGUCCCUGGCACAAAGCGGACCCUCAGUAAAUGUUGAAUGAAUAGGAGGCCGGUCAUCAUUCCCAAAACCAUGUCCCUGCCCUCCAGAGGCUCACAGCCUCGCCAGGAAGACAACGCCACAAUGACAGCCACUCCUCAGGCACUUGCCAGGCGCCAGGCAGUCUAGCUGGUGGUUAAAUGUGCAGACUCUGGAGCAGGACAGCAGGUUCAAAGACCACAUCCACCACCUUCUUGGUCAUAUGUGACUUUGGGUAAAUCACCUAACACCUCUGGGCCUCAGUUUCUCCAUCUGUACGAGGGGAAUCGCAGUAUCCAGACAGAGGAAAACAGCCCUGGCAUCUGGGAGCUGCCCGGUCCUAUCAGCCAGGCCUCGGUGUUGCUCGGGCUGGCCUGGCACAGCUGGUCCUGGUGCUCCUGCUGAACACAGAAAAGCCAUCUGUGACCGUGACGGAUGGAGACAAAAACAGGACCACUCGGGCAGAAACCAAUGCAACAGCAUUGGGCCAGUGUCUGGGACGAGCAGAGCAGAGGGACCUUGGAGCUCAAAGAGAAGAGAGGCCCCAGGCUGCAGAGGGCAAGCCCCCAGGAUGUGCUCAGCGACCUUCUCUCUUCCUCUCCCAUUGGUGAUGCCCUCACUGGAUCCAAGGCCGCCUGGCUGCUGAGUAAACACAGGCCCAGCUGAGGCCCGAGGUGGGGGUCAGUGUCGGCAGAGUCUGAGGCCUGAGUCACUUCCUGAUCAUUGCUUAAGAGGCGUCCGGAGCCACAGCCUGAGUGGCCAGCUCGUGCCCUUGCAGGAUUGCAGCCACUUGGGCAAUGAGCACUUCCGUGGUAUUCCUCACCUUUCCAGGCUCAGCUCUGCCAGCUCAGGUUUCUGAGACCCACAACAGAGAGGCUGAAGCCCUGCUCCCACCUGGAGAACUGGAUCCUCAACCCAGAAGGAAACCUAAGUCUCCUGGACAACCCUCUUGCCUGUGCCCAGCCUUAGGUGCUGGCUUCCUGGACCCACCCCAACCUCAGAAUCAGGGUGCCUUCCACUGGCACCACCAACCCCAAAGUUCUGAAACUCCUGCAGCCCUCCCCGGCACGGAGCCCCUGCCCUGUCCCCCCACAGGGUCUCAGGGCUGAAGGAGGGCUGGGGCAGAGAAGAGGGUGGGGAAUAUGUCAGAGAGCUCAGGGCAGGAUGUACUGAGGGAGACACGGCUUGAUCAGUGGACAUGUCCUCACGAUGUGGGCGAGGCUGACGAUGUGAAAUGCAGGCCACCUCCUUUAAGGAGACCCAGAGACACUGCAUAGCCUUGUGGCCGAGAGCAUGGACUCUAGAACCAGGCUACCAGCUUCCCCAUCUCAGCUCUGCCCUUUACCAGCUGUGCUACCUUCGGCAAGUUACUUCACCUCUCUGUACCUCAGGUUCCUCAUCUCUAAAAUGAGAAUAAUAAUAGUACUGACUCAUAGGCCUCUCACCAGGAUUAAGGGAGUUGUGUAUGUAAAACACUUAGAAUAAUGACUGGCGCAUGGCAAACACAGUGUUCAUUAAAUAAAUAUUUUUUC